rnacentral:rRNA from 1 species
UACGUAGGGUGCGAGCGUUAAUCGGAAUUACUGGGCGUAAAGCGUGCGCAGGCGGUUUGUUAAGACAGAUGUGAAAUCCCCGGGCUUAACCUGGGAACUGCAUUUGUGACUGGCAAGCUAGAGUAUGGCAGAGGGGGGUAGAAUUCCACGUGUAGCAGUGAAAUGCGUAGAGAUGUGGAGGAACACCGAUGGCGAAGGCAGCCCCCUGGGUCAAGAUUGACGCUCAUGCACGAAAGCGUGGGGAGCAAACAGG